CGAGCGAGGUACUUGUACCUAGCGGCAGACGGGUGCGUAACAUGUGGGAAUCUGCCUUUUGGUUCGGAACAACACGGGGAAACUUGUGCUAAUACCGGAUAAGUCCUAACGGGGAAAGAUUUAUCGCCGAAAGAUGAGCCCGCACUAGAUUAGCUUGUUGGUAAGGUAAAAGCUUACCAAGGCUACGAUCUAUAGCUGAUUUGAGAGGAUGAUCAGCCACACUGGGACUGAGACACGGCCCAGACUCCUACGGGAGGCAGCAGUGGGGAAUCUUGCACAAUGGAGGAAACUCUGAUGCAGCGAUGCCGCGUGAGUGAAGAAGGCCCUUGGGUUGUAAAGCUCUUUUGUCGGGAAUGAUAAUGACUGUACCCGAAGAAUAAGGUCCGGCUAACUUCGUGCCAGCAGCCGCGGUAAU
rnacentral:rRNA from 1 species